rnacentral:rRNA from 1 species
UACGGGGGGGAGCAAGCGUUGUUCGGAUUUACUGGGCGUAAAGGGCGCGUAGGCGGUCGUGACAAGUCACUUGUGAAAUCUCCGGGCUUAACUCGGAACGGUCAAGUGAUACUGUCGGACUAGAGACAGAAGGGGCAAUCUGGAAUUCUCGGUGUAGCGGUGAAAUGCGUAGAUAUCUGGAGGAACACCGGUGGCGAAGGCGGCAUCCUGGACCGAACACUGACGCUGAGGAGCGAAAGCCAGGGGAGCAAAGCGGGG